ACGAACGCUGGCGGCGUGCUUAACACAUGCAAGUCGAACGGAAAGGCCCCCUUGUGGGGUACUCGAGUGGCGAACGGGUGAGUAACACGUGAGUAACCUACCCUUGACUUUGGGAUAACUUCAGGAAACUGGGGCUAAUACCGGAUAGGAGCUCCUGCUGCAUGGUGGGGGUUGGAAAGUUUUGGCGGUUGGGGAUGGACUCGCGGCUUAUCAGCUUGUUGGUGGGGUAGUGGCUCACCAAGGCUUUGACGGGUAGCCGGCCUGAGAGGGUGACCGGCCACAUUGGGACUGAGAUACGGCCCAGACCCCUACGGGAGGCAGCAGUGGGGAAUAUUGCACAAUGGGCGGAAGCCUGAUGCAGCAACGCCGCGUGCGGGAUGACGGCCUUCGGGUUGUAAACCGCUUUCGCCUGUGACGAAGCGUGAGUGACGGUAAUGGGUAAAGAAGCACCGGCUAACUACGUG
rnacentral:rRNA from 1 species